CGAGGUCCGUAAUUGAAAUUAUUUGUCAUCAUCGUACGAAGAGUUUCAACAGAAGACGAUUUU
rnacentral:sRNA from 1 species